rnacentral:rRNA from 1 species
GACGAACGCUGGCGGCGUGCUUAACACGUGCAAGUCGAACGGAAAGGCCCUGCUUUUGUGGGGUGCUCGAGUGGCGAACGGGUGAGUAACACGUGAGUAACCUGCCCUUGACUUUGGGAUAACUUCAGGAAACUGGGGCUAAUACCGGAUAGGAGCUCCUGCUGCAUGGUGGGGGUUGGAAAGUUUCGGCGGUUGGGGAUGGACUCGCGGCUUAUCAGCUUGUUGGUGGGGUAGUGGCUUACCAAGGCUUUGACGGGUAGCCGGCCUGAGAGGGUGACCGGCCACAUUGGGACUGAGAUACGGCCCAGACUCCUACGGGAGGCAGCAGUGGGGAAUAUUGCACAAUGGGCGGAAGCCUGAUGCAGCAACGCCGCGUGCGGGAUGACGGCCUUCGGGUUGUAAACCGCUUUCGCCUGUGACGAAGCGUGAGUGACGGUAAUAGGUAAAGAAGCACCGGCUAACUACGUG